rnacentral:rRNA from 1 species
UACGUAUGGUGCAAGCGUUAUCCGGGUUUACUGGGCGUAAAGGGAGCGCAGGCGGCGCGCCAAGUCUGAUGUGAAACCCCGGGGCUCAACCCCGGGCAUGCAUUGGAAACUGGCGGGCUGGAGUGCCGGAGAGGUAAGCGGAAUUCCUAGUGUAGCGGUGAAAUGCGUAGAUAUUAGGAGGAACACCAGUGGCGAAGGCGGCUUACUGGACGGCAACUGACGCUGAGGCUCGAAAGCGUGGGGAGCAAACAGG